rnacentral:rRNA from 1 species
CAGUCGCCACGGGAAUACGGAGGGUGCAAGCGUUAUCCGGAUUUAUUGGGUUUAAAGGGUCCGUAGGCGGAUCUGUAAGUCAGUGGUGAAAUCUCACAGCUUAACUGUGAAACUGCCAUUGAUACUGCAGGUCUUGAGUAAAUUUGAAGUGGCUGGAAUAAGUAGUGUAGCGGUGAAAUGCAUAGAUAUUACUUAGAACACCAAUUGCGAAGGCAGGUCACUAAGAUUUAACUGACGCUGAUGGACGAAAGCGUGGGGAGCAAACAGGAUUAGAUACCCGAGUAGUCCCUGUCUCUUAUAC